AUAGGUAGACCUGCUGGUGACAGGCAUUUGGUACCAGAAUACAGCAGAGAGCAAGACAGAUGUGAUCCCUGCCUGCAUGGUGCUUACACUUUCUGAAAUGCAAAUGUCUCAUCUACACUGAAGCAAACUGUCGCUUGGAGGUGGAUUAGGAUGGAAUCUGUCUUGAGAGUAGAGUUCCUGGCCCCUGGCUCAAGUAUAAGGAAGAUCCCUCUGGUUGUGGCAUUGAUGGACAGAAGGUGGUGAGGCUGGACAGAGAUGGACUACACCUGCAAGUCUCGGCUCAAGGGUCAGGAGACCAGAGAAGACACCAGGAAGCCACAGAGUUAGCACUCCAUUAACCCAAGACAGGAGUCAGAGCACAGAGAUCAGCUUAUGGCUUCUGAGG
rnacentral:lncRNA from 1 species